GGGUUAGGGUAUCACCAGAGGAGAGCUGAGAGGGCUCUCUUACAACCCAGGGGUGCUGCGCUUCAUGAUGUGUAUUGGCUUCAUCCUCCGGCUGCAGGAAUUACAGAGGUCACCUUCAAAGAGUACCUUAUCCAGAGGAAAACAGACACUGUCUCCUUAGGUCUCUCAUUCGGAGAAAGGAAACCUUUCCCACAGGCCUUCCCAACAGACUUCCCCUCAUGCAUCAGCCAGAAUUAGGUCACUUACCCAUGCUUAAACCAGACACAGCAGAAGGCAAGAAUUCUCACGACUGACAUCAUCUAGAGUGGAAUAAUUUCGAGGACUCAACUAAGUGGCCACCACAAGCAGAAAAGGAAGGAACUCACAUGUUCUUUCUGAGACCCUGGGUGUUUCUCAACCAUCCUCUCUUUCAUUCUCUCAUCCACGCUCAUCCAGGUGUGUGCUAUUACCCUCUCCGUACUGAGAAGAAAUCAGAGGCUCUGCCCAGGGCCCCAUAUACGUACUGUGCUCCAAAGCCCCUGCUGUUUUUAUUACUGGGCACUGCAGACUUGGAGUGCAGUGGAAAGACAGAAGCUGUGCCCAGAGAGAGGAUUUGCAGUGUUAAAUAUCUUGUGGCAACAUUUCUUUUGAAGUGUUACACGCUUGGUUGGCUUCAAUGAAGACCUCUAGGACUGAGGACCGUGAGAGCAACAGUUGAAGGCAUCAAAAAAAAAAAAAAAAAAAAAAAAGAGAGAGAGAGAGUCCUCAAACAGGAACUUAAUGCAGUUUUUCUCUUUGGCCAUUUAAUCCACACUCCGAAUAGAUGAUGCUUUCAAACUGUGGUCCUGAAGAAGACUCUUGUGAGUCCCUUGAAGAGCAAGGAGAUCAAGCCUGUCAAUCCUAAAAGAAAUCUAACCUGAAUAUUCAUUGGAAGGACUGAUGCUCAAGCUCUAAUAUUUUGGUCACCUGAUGCAAAGAGCUGACUCAUUGGGAAAAAAACAAACAAACAAACAAAAAACAACCUGAUG
ensembl:lncRNA